rnacentral:rRNA from 1 species
AUUGAACGCUGGCGGCAUGCUUUACACAUGCAAGUCGAACGGCAGCGCGGGCUUCGGCCUGGCGGCGAGUGGCGAACGGGUGAGUAAUGCAUCGGAACGUGCCCAGCUGCUGGGGAUAGGGCGGCGACAGCCGGAAUAAUACCGCAAAAGAGCUGAGGGUGAAAGCGGGGGACCGAAAGGCCUCGCGCUCUUGGACGGGCCGAUGUCGGAUUAGCUAGUUGGUGGGGUAAAGGCGUACCAAGGCGACGAUCCGUAGCUGGUCUGAGAGGACGACCAGCCACACUGGGACUGAGACACGGCCCAGACUCCUACGGGAGGCAGCAGUGGGGAAUUUUGGACAAUGGGGGCAAGCCUGAUCCAGCCAUGCCGCGUGCGGGAAGAAGGCCUUCGGGUUGUAAACCGCUUUUGUUCGGGAAGAAAUCCUCUGGGCUAAUACCCCGGGGGGAUGACGGUACCGGAAGAAUAAGCACCGGCUAACUACGUG